CCAGAAUCAUUUUUAAUAUGGCUUGGUCAUAUAGUUGGUGAUGUAUUUUUAAUGAGAGGGUAUACUAAAGGAAAUUGGCAAGGAUAACCAAAAAAUUAUACUUCAACAUGUAACUAUUACAGAAUAAUGGCUACGAUAUAUUACAUAUAAACUAAAAUAUCACAAUCCGAUUUUACAACCACUCAUUUUUAUUUUUUAUUUAUUUAUUUUUUUCUUUCUUUUUUAAUGAAAAUUUCCUCAACUCUUUCUUAUUCCUUUAAUUCUCUUGGAAAAAAAUUAACCUCAAAAUUCUACACAAAGAUAAUUUUGUUUUUCAUAUAUACCAUAGUUUUAUAUUUUUU
rnacentral:lncRNA from 1 species